rnacentral:rRNA from 1 species
ACGGGAGGCAGCAGUGGGGAAUAUUGGACAAUGGGGGAAACCCUGAUCCAGCGACGCCGCGUGAGUGAAGAAGUAUUUCGGUAUGUAAGGCUCUAUCAGCAAGAAAGAAAAUGACGGUACUUGACUAAGAAGCCCCGGCUAACUACGUGCCAGCAGCCGCGGUAAUACGUAGGGGGCAAGCGUUAUCCGGAUUUACUGGGUGUAAAGGGAGCGUAGACGGCGAUGCAAGUCUGAAGUGAAAGCCCGGGGCUCAACCCCGGAACUGCUUUGGAAACUGUAUAGCUAGAGUGCAGGAGAGGUAUGUGGAAUUCCUAGUGUAGCGGUGAAAUGCGUAGAUAUUAGGAGGAACACCAGUGGCGAAGGCGACAUACUGGACUGUAACUGACGUUGAGGCUCGAAGGCGUGGGGAGCAAACAGGAUUAGAUACCCUGGUA